rnacentral:ncRNA from 1 species
GAGCCUUGUCUUCAAAAGGGAAUCAGGUGAAAAUCCUGGACAGUGCCCGCUACUGUAACCCCUGUUAUGUAAAACUCAGCAAUGCCACUGACUGUUUGUCGGGAAGGCGAGUUUUUCGGAGGAAGUCAGGAGACCUGCCUAUUACUAU